rnacentral:rRNA from 1 species
UGGCGGACGGGUGAGUAACGCGUGGGUAACCUGCCCUGUACAGGGGGAUAACAGUCAGAAAUGACUGCUAAUACCGCAUAAGACCACAGCACCGCAUGGCGCAGGGGUAAAAACUCCGGUGGUACAGGAUGGACCCGCGUCUGAUUAGCUGGUUGGUGAGGUAACGGCUCACCAAGGCGACGAUCAGUAGCCGGCUUGAGAGAGUGAACGGCCACAUUGGGACUGAGACACGGCCCAAACUCCUACGGGAGGCAGCAUG